rnacentral:rRNA from 1 species
GAUGAACGCUAGCGGGAGGCCUAACACAUGCAAGCCGAGCGGUAUUGUUUCUUCGGAAAUGAGAGAGCGGCGUACGGGUGCGUAACACGUGUGCAACCUGCCUUUAUCUGGGGGAUAGCCUUUCGAAAGGAAGAUUAAUACUCCAUAAUAUAUUGAACGGCAUCGUUUAAUAUUGAAAGCUCCGGCGGAUAGAGAUGGGCACGCGGAAGAUUAGCUAGUUGGUGAGGUAACGGCUCACCAAGGCGAUGAUCUUUAGGGGGCCUGAGAGGGUGAUCCCCCACACUGGUACGGAGACACGGACCAGACUCCUACGGGAGGCAGCAGUGAGGAAUAUUGGUCAAUGGGUGCAAGCCUGAACAAGCCAUCCCGCGUGAAGGACGACUGCCCUAUGGGUUGUAAACUUCUUUUGUAUAGGGAUAAACCUACCCUCGUGAGGGUAGCUGAAGGUACUAUACGAAUAAGCACCGGCUAACUCCGUGCCAGCCGCCGCCGUAA